rnacentral:rRNA from 1 species
CACACGACUCUCGGCAACGGAUAUCUCGGCUCUCGCAUUGAUGAAGAACGUAGCAAAAUGCGAUACCUGGUGUGAAUUGCAGAAUCCCGCGAACCAUCGAGUUUUUGAACGCAAGUUGCGCCCGAGGCCUUCUGGCUGAGGGCACGCCUGCUUGGGCGUCACGC